rnacentral:rRNA from 1 species
GACGAACGCUGGCGGCGUGCCUAACACAUGCAAGUCGAACGGAAAGGCCCUGCUUUUGUGGGGUGCUCGAGUGGCGAACGGGUGAGUAACACGUGAGUAACCUGCCCUUGACUUUGGGAUAACUUCAGGAAACUGGGGCUAAUACCGGAUAGGAGCUCCUGCUGCAUGGUGGGGGUUGGAAAGUUUCGGCGUUUGGGGAUGGACUCGCGGCUUAUCAGCUUGCUGGUGGGGUAGUGGCUUACCAAGGCUUUGACGGGUAGCCGGCCUGAGAGGGUGACCGGCCACACUGGGACUGAGAUACGGCCGAGACUCCGAAGGGAGGAAGCAGUGGGGAAGAUUGCACAAUGGGCGGAAGCCUGAUGCAGCAGCGCCGCGUGCGGGAUGACGGUCUUCGGGUUGUAAACCGGUAUCGCCUGUAACGAAGCGUGAGUGACGGUAAUGGGUAGAGAAGGCACGGCUAAAUACGUG